AGUUAAUGAACUUGGUAUAAGUAUAUGUUUUGAAAACAUAAUAAAGAAGUUAAACCUUCUAUUAACUU
rnacentral:tRNA from 2 species